rnacentral:lncRNA from 1 species
GGGAGCCUUUCGAGGCCCUGGGAACCAAGAGACCGCAAUCGCUACAGUCAGGCUGGCCGCGCUAGUAGGCCACAGAGCGCAUAUGUAAAGGGAACUUGUAAUUUUGUUUCUCCAAUGAGAGAUUAAUAAAGUGCAUGUUUCCCUAUGUUUAUUUGUGUACUUAGUACACUGGCACGCCCGCAUUUUUCUUUUCCCCGGCGCAUGAGAGAAAUCCACACUUCUUCUCUUCCCUUCUCACGGAUAGCUUAUAAGAUUUUUCUCGUGUCAAACAAAUUGGCACGCCCGGUGGGACAUGGUUCUCCUCCCAUCUUGGCUUCGUUGUGGUCGUCGAAAUCGUCUUCGCCAAUCUCCAAUGUGCACAGCAUGCUGCAAGGAUCUUCGCCGGUAAGCCUCUUUCUUGCACGUGAACUCUCCCACAGUAGCAAAUCGGAGCUGUGAUGAUCUAGUAUGGAUGAUUGCCGCUUAUGGUCUUCGUCGAGCAUGGCACCAGGGUCUACAUCUACCAAGCCGAAGAUCCCGCGCAGUUUCAAACUAUGCAGUCAAAAAAAGCACAAAGGAGGGCGGCCACCAAGACGAUGGAGCGCCACGAGCUAAUGCUGGAGGUGCACCAUGUUGAAGGAGUCAUCAAGGGUAGACAUCCAUGAAGACGUGGAGGCAGCUCAACGCCUCCAUGCUAAUACCGUCAACAGGAGGGCUAGUGCGACAUCCUUUCAUCCUCUAUCCGGCUUGGCUCCCACUCAGAGCCGCCAACGCCAACACCACAACGUACCGAGGUGAAGCUAUACCUGAAGGCUUGGAGGCCAUCUCCCACAACCCGCGUAGGCUCAUGGUUGCAGGUAGGAUGAGGUGCCAAUCGCCAUGUCAUCAUCAUUAACAUGAGCGCCUCGAUGACAGUCUUCACCAACUCACCACUUAGAGUGGGGGCAUCCUAACAUGCCCCCAUGUUCGAAACGAUGGUCAUGACAUCAAUAUGAUGAGAGAAACCCUCGACCCACUCAACGGUGGAAGCCAUGCAUGGGACCUCCACAACAAACACUUCCACCACUACACGCAUCCCGCCUAGGCGGGGGCUCGGCCACAAUUCAAGGUGAUGGCGGACAGGGCUGAAUCACCCACUCGGCACCAUGCGCCACCACGUUCUCUACAGGUGAAGCGUCAUUAAUGCAGCCAUAAACUGGAGGUCUCCCGACGUGAUACAUGACUGGUCCAAGGUGGGGGUUGUUCACCCAUCGUCGAUAUGGAGCUAUCCUGAGGUGGUGUGCUGUCCACACCACUGUCGCCGUCGUGGAGUGCCCCAAGGCAGGGCGCUAUCUACACCGCCAUCGACAUGGAGCGCCCCGAACGCAGGGCGCCAUAUACCUCCGUUGGCACGGAGCUUGGCUAGGUGGAUCUCUUUCUUCUCCACCAUUGACACAGAUAUCUCAAAAGAUGGGGCGGCUUCUGGACCAUCAUCCCACAGCUUUCCCAGGGCGGGGAUAUCAUCUACGUUGCUGCCUCCCACUCGGAGCUUUGGUUCGGGGGGGGCUUUGUCUAAACCGCCGCCAACAAGGAGCUUAGCCUUGGGUGGUGGUCGGUCUACACCGUCACAGACAUGUUAACGCCCAAGGAGGAGCGCCAUCUACAUCGUCACCAACACUAAGCUCGCCUAAGGGCGAACCCCGUCUACACCAUCUUGGAGCUCCCCAAAGGCGGGCAGGACUUUUGUGCCUCUACCAACAAGGGGCUCGACCAAGGCGUGGUGACGUCCACACAGCCGCCAAUGUGGAGCUCACCAGACGUGGUGCAUCGUCAAGACCGCCUCCAAUGUGAAGCAUCACCCGAACGCGGGUGCCAUUUACAUAGCCUCAGGGCAUGCCUAUGGUGGGCGUGCCGCUUGCUCAUCGCCAACAUGGAGCGCACCAAAAGUUGGGCGCCAUCUACACCACCCGUGACCAUGUUGGAGGCGUCAUCAUCAACCUCCGGCAUAAUGAGGAACGCUGCUACAUCAAUAUGUCGUCACCAUCUUCAUCGAUGUCACACUCGGCGGGGACGCCGACUACAUCAACACGCUGCCAUCUGACUACAUUGACACGGUGUCGCAAUCUUCAUCAAGUCUUCAUCUAGCGAUGGUGUCGUCUACAUCGAUGCCGACGGAUGUCCACAUGACGUUGUCAUCUUCUUUGACUUACUACUUGGCAAAGACACAGACUUCACCGACACUUCGCCUUUCUUCUACACCGAGCGAAGGUCGUCCCCGUAACUGCGACGCCCCAAGGUCUACUCGACAAGCUAGUAUUGUCGUCAUCUUUAAGCACCACUGUCAUGCUGUGACACUCAAGUCUACUCCAACUUCUACAUCAACACACUUCUCGACAUCGUCCAAGCUCCGACGAGGCAAAUUUGUACUCCACCGACAUGUCUUUUCCCGAUGAAGUAAUCCAUAUCUUGCCAGGCACCGACGAGGCGAAGGCAAGUCAUCCAGUCCAACACCAACAAGGCGGACACCACCAGGCAGGGCACCGACGAGGCGAAGGCCGCCCACUUCAUCAUCGGACAAUCGACGAGACGGAGGGAUACGGCUUGGCAGAGCCGAAGCGAUGGACAUACCGCUCUCCCCUUCACUUCAUCACUACAUCCCCACCAUCUACACCAAGCCAACGGCGCAAUCGAAGCCUUCAACAAGACACUCAGGAGGAUACUCAAGAAGACGGUGACAAGGAAUGGGAGAGACUGGCAUGGUCAUCUCUUCGAGUCCUUAUGGGCGUACCGCGUCACGGUUCGUACCCCAACGCAGGCAACUCCGUUUUCUCUCAUUUACGGGAGUGAGGCAGUCCUACCACUGGAGGUCUAGCUACCCUCUUUGAGGGUCGCUAUCCAAGAUGAGAUCACCCAAGAUGAAUAGGUACAACUGCGUUUCCAAGAGAUUGACGCCCUUGAAGAGGGGCGAAUUAAUGCCCUACAGAACCUGGAGCUUUACCGCCAGAAUAUGGUGAGAGCUUACGACAAGCUCGUCAAGCAACACGUCUUCCGAAAGGGCGAGUUGGUUCUCGUGCUCAGACGACCCAUCGUCGUGGCGCACAAGACGAAGGGCAAGUCCGAGCCAAAGUGGGAAGGACCAUACAUCAUCGAGAAAGUCUACGACGAGGGAGCAUACCAGCUCAUCGAUUCCCAGGGAGUCCGACUUAUGCCCCCAAUCAACGGAAGGUUCCUCAAAAGAAUUAUUUUUCUUAAAAUUUUGCCUCUUUUGUUGCCUUUUGGAUUUUCAUUGGGGAAACUUUUUCUGUGGGCUUUCGGAUCCAUGAUGCAUUCUCCUUAGCAUUUUGUGGAUAUAUUUAGUUUUCCCCAAUUUUUACGGAUAAGUCCAACAACAACAAAAUGGCUUCCCCCUAUCGCACUACGUUGUUGAUUGAAGUUUAGGCUACCCUCGGACUUGUUGGAGGGCGGCACAAUGUGUCAAGUUGCAGGUGGAGCGGCUCCUACACCCACAAUGCACGACACGUACCAGGUGUAUGCUUCCGGAGGCAGCGGAGAUGAUUACUUGGGCACUUCUGAGUAUUGAGACCCCUCGCUCUUCAUGUUUCCCGGCAUGCCUCGUGUUCACAGAGGCUCGCACUCUAGGGAAGACUAUAGGAAAAGAUCAUGCAGGGCUGCCUGACCCAACCCAAGUUGGUUUGGUGCGUAGUCACAUGGCAACCCUGGGGUGCGCCACUAGAAGCCCAGAUAAAGUGCUAGAGGGUUUUUCCUAGUCCACAGAGGUGAACAGUUCCCUUCCAAGUUCCAAGGUAGGUCCCCAAGAAAUCCUGGAAGAAGAGUCCUCAAGGAGUUUGAGCCGAAUGUCAAAACAAGUCCAUGAAGUCCGCGGCCAAUCAAUCAUCCGCGUGAGCAAUCAAUAUGAAAUUUCAAAAGUCCAAGAAACAAAUUCAAGAAAAAUCCCAACAGUACAAGAAACAAUCAACUGGUCCCAAGCAGAAAGGCACCCACUGGAAGGAAGGCGGGAGGUAGUUGUUCACCACCCCUCGAUAUGCAUGAAGAAAAAUCGCCAAGCCAUUGUCCCAAAACCAUUUACCCUGAACUUAUCACACCCAAGUCUCUGGGCUCAUGAGGCGUGUGCAGGGGGCAUGUUGAGUUGUGGGGGCCCUCAGUAUGACUAUGGGCUAGAGUAUGAAUUUCUGCUGCCUCUCGGAAGCAUCCCGAAACACGGCAUCUUCAUACACGUUCACUGAAGCUAUUUAAGUUGUUGAGUUGCAAUCGUCAAGGUCUUUCGACGGUUCCCAAUGACAAGUUCCUUCGGUAGCCUUCUCGGAUAUCGCGCCUAGUAGCUGGUGUAUAACGGGAAAGCCAACAUAAAAAAAAAAUGUUUUUUCUUCAUUUUUUUCUUCCGCCUGUUUUUGUUUGGUGUUUCUAGUUGUGCUCCUCCAACAUCUUUGCAGCCAUGGAGAGACACUCCCUGUCAUCGUCGACGGCAUUCUGACGACAACCGCUACAUCGAACUACGUCCUGGGUGCUUGGGUGCAGCAGUACCCAUGCGUCCCUGACAACACCGACGACAGCCCGAUAACCAAUGGUCUACACCAACACGCACGAUGGGCGACAGAAGGCAACACCUGCACUCAUGGAGGUGGAGCCGAUUCGUCCCCGCAACCCUGUCUCCAACAACAAUGAAGCAUGGGGGCAAUGUCAACCCCUCAAUUAUUCGUAAGGCCGAUGACGUCCCGGCACACCACCAGAAUUGUCACACCAUGGAUGGUGUGACGGUUCGCUCAACCAAGGGGAGCUAUCGACGGUCUACCGAUGCCUCGCCUACAUGAACACAAAGAGAUCACAGGAGCAGUGCAACGCGCCAGUGCGGCCAGCGUGAAUAUGUGAAACCCUCCAAUCGAGUCGGCUGGCACCGUAGCAGCUAGAAGGUCGCAACGAGAUUGGUAAAAAAAUAUUUUUGUUUUCAGGACAAGGCAUGAUGUUUCGCCAUGGAAUGAAGACGAGAUAGGGUUUGCCUCAUAGAUAGGCAUCGUGCCUAUUAUACGAUCCAACGAGCACCCUAGAGAACGCAGGUGUGGAUGGACAUGCCUACACUAAUUUACAUUACUAUCAAUCAAUGAUCUUCGGGACGAUGCUCAAUAUCACUAACCUCGGGUCAAUACCUCUCUAGGCUGCACACAUGUUGAUGCGCCAAUUCGUUACAGAAAAAAUGUUUUCACCAAAUUAAGUUCGGUCGCUUCACACUCGAACUUUAUUUGGUGAGGGGGCAUUUUGUUCGAUGUUUUUUUAUAAUUUUUUAAAUAAUAAUAUUCUUUUUCUAAUGGCGCUCAUCACUCACAUAGUCUAUUUAUAGAUAUUUGAGUAUUUUUUUAGUGCAGAUUAUAUACAGAGGAAGAUUUGAUCGGAGCAUGUAAACACAUAUGCCCAUAAGCGCUAUUAAUGCAGACAUGCUAAUUGAUCUUUGAUUAAUGGCUUUGUACGUGUGCAUGGCAAAACUAUGUACGUGCAGAUGAUCAUGGAUGUGUAUAUGCAUUGCAAUGAAACCAAGUGCUAGUAUUUCCAUAUUGCAUGCAUUCAAAGCCAGGUCUAACGUGUCCAUCGUAACCUUGGCACGUACAAAUACAUAUAAAAAUGCUUCUGUACGGGCAAGCUCGCACGCGUACAUACCUAAAUACCCACAGGUAUGCCUACAUCAUAUAUGUACAUAUUUGGGUAUCUAUGGACGGCCGACGAGCGUCUCCAAAUACCCACAGUACCCAGCAUGCCAACACGAUGGAUUGAUCAAUGGAAAGAAAGGUAGCACGUUUCUUGCAGCAAGUUUACAAAGGAAUCAAUCGGCCCAUCUACAGCAAGUCGUGCGCGUCAAGAAGGUCUAUGGAAGAAAAAGGAAGGGAACCGGCAUCCAUCGUAGGUACGAGAUUGACUUUCCGUUUCUUUGUACAGACUUGAGCGUCAAGAAGAAUUAUUAAAAGGAAAGAAAUCGGCGGUUGUGCUCCGGUUGCCAUCAAUCCAACACCCAUUGGCUGGCUAUAUAUAGUCAGCGGAGGGAGGCACGUACGGGGGAAGGAGGCAGGAGAAGACGCGCCUGUGGGCGGCAGCGUCGACGAGCGGGGAAGCCAGCAGCAGUUUCCCCCGAGGAAGGCGCGCGGCCGGGAUACCGAGGCAGAGGGAAGGAAGCGCCUCUGGGGGCGGCGUGCUCACCGGUCGACACACAUGUACCCUUGUUUGUCCGGCGCCGGCACCGACGCCAAGAGGACGGGCAGCAGCAAGCGGAACACGCUGGUGGCGACUCGAACAUGGCGGAGCAUGUGUGCAGUAACGCCGAGCAUGCAUCACCAGCAUCGUGAGAUUGAGCGUGUGUCAAGGAUGCAACAUGGAGUUCCAUCUCUCUGGUUAGCAUAAUACUAAGUACAUACAUCUAUUUCUAUUGUGUACCAGGUGAGGAAACACAUGCACAUGCACAUGCACGUACAAGACUCCUCGAGCAGUACAUGGAUGAGUUGCCGCAACUCCUCCUGCGUGCCUCGUUUGGGCAGCACGCCCAGGAGGGAGGCACAAGACAGGCCGUCACGGCAGCGCUGAGAACACACCGGAAAGGUCGCGCCGACGGCGGCGGCACGCUCACCGGGCAACAUACACACGGCCUAGCGCUGUCCGUGGCGGCAGUGCAUACGUACAUCUAUAUAUCUUUUGUGUAUGCAGGAGACCAGGAGGAGAAGCAAACGCGCUCGGGGUGGCAGCGUCGAGGAACAACGAAGUUCCACGGAAGACAGAGGAGAGAAGGGACACGGCAGGCAACCCACGCAGCCAACGUACAAGACGCACGCAACAACACAUCUCGCUGAGGCAAGAUACGCACCCUGGCGGCAGCGUAGAGGAGAAGAAGACGCGCCGAGCAGCGACGUGGCAGCCGCGAUGUAUAGACGAGAAGGACAUGCUCCAAGCGGGAAACCGAGCAUUGAGGGCGCAUGCACCAUCUGCAACGGCGCCGUAAUGAUCUUUCUUUUUCUGCGUGUUAUCAUCUAUUUUGCAGAAUGGCCAUCGAAAAGCAUGCCCAGCAAAGGUGGCCGCGGACGAUACAAUGCUCAUCCCGUACCAGGAGCAGUUGAGGCGGCGGACGACGCGCCCAACGGAGGUGGCCGCGGACCAAGGAGCGCUCUUCUCGUACAAGGUGCUGUCGAGGCGGUGGACAACGCGUCCAACGGAGGUGGCCACACGGACCAUGCAGCGUUGUUCUCGUACACGAUGCCAUGGAAGUGGCGGACGACGCGCUCAACGGAGGUGACUGCAAACGAUGCGGCGCUCUUCUCGUAGGAGCAGUUGAGGCGGUGGACGACGCGCCCAAUGGAGGUGGUCGCGGACGAAGCGACGCUCUUCCCGUACAAGGUUUUGUCGAGGCGGUCGACGACGCGCCCAAUGGAGGUGGCCGCGGGCGAUGCAUCGCUCUUCUCGUACCCAGUGCAAUGGAGGCGAUGGAUGGACGGAGCUCGCUACGACGACGCCUGUCGUCUUCUUCAUCAAGCUGGCGCCAUGGAGGACGAAGGCAUGGAGGCUCGCGAGGAUGCCGCUGUCAUGUCGCGGUGGAUCGCGACACAGAGCUGGCCAGGACGAUGCCCAUCGUCUUCUUCAUCAAGCUGGCGCCAUGGAGGACGAAGGCGUGGAGGCUCGCGAGGAUGCCGCCGCCGUGCCGUGAUGGAUGGCACCACGGAGUUCGACAAGACGACGCCAGUGUCAACUUCAUCAAGCCGGCGCCACGGAGGACGAAGGCGUGGAGGCUCGCGAGGAUGCCACCGACGUGCCACGGUGGAUGGCGCCACGGAUUUCGCCAAGAUGACGUCAAUGUCAACAUCAUCAACCCGGCGCCGCAAGGAUCGUGACAGGGAGCUCGCAAGAAGGACGCCCGCCAUACACUUCGUCAGCUGGAGCUAGAGGACGGAGGCGUGGCGCCCAUUGGGGAUGCUGCCGACGUCUACUUCGUCAAGCUGGAGCCCAGAGGCGUGGAGCUCGCAGGAAUUCUGCCGUGUCCCGUGGAGAAAGGCGAGACGGAGCUCGCUAGGACAAUGCCCGUCUUCUUCUUCAUCAAGUCGGUGCCAUGAAGGACAAAGGCGUGGAGACUCGCAACGGUGGCGCCGUCGUUCCGCGGUAGAUAGCGGCGCGGAGCUCACCAAGAUGACACCAACGCCAAUAUCACCACACCCGUGCCAUGGAGGACGGAGGCGUGAAGCUCGCAAGGAUGCCGCUGCCGUGUCGCGGUGGAUGGCGGCGCAGAGCUCGCCAAGACGACGCCCAUCGCCAACAUCAACCCGGUACCGCGAAGGAUCGUGGCGUGGAGCUCGCAAGGAGGACACCACCAAUGUCUACCUCGUUAAGAUGGAGCCCGCGACCGGGAGCCAUGAAGAUGACACACGCCCUCGGUGCUGCCCUUAACACAGAGCCUGCGAUGAGAAGAAGAUGGCGCUACGCAAUGACGUGGCUUCACCAACCCUUACCACUACAUGGUGCUAUUUGCGACACGAAGCCCAUGAAGACGAGGCAUGAUGGCGAGGAGGCGACGUGACUUCACCAACACUAACUCCCGAUGACCCCAUUAGGAGGCACCCUUGUCUUGGCGAACCACGGAACCUGGCGUCCGGCUGAGACAAGGCAACGCAACAAAUACGAUCAUCUCUCCACAAGUUCGCCAGACGGUGCACCUUGAUAAAGCGGACUGUCAUAGAGAUUUUUGGUCAUAGAACCCCUGGUCCCAAUGUUUAUAGAACUGUCCAGAAUUGAUAAAGAGAAGCAGCUUUGAAGUCAUGGAGAACGAAAAUAGGACCCUCGAGCCCGUCUAGUGAUUAAAGGUCUUGACGUACAGGUCAAUGGCGUCACCGACGUUCAGGUCGCCCUUUGGCGUAGCACCAACCAAGGCGAUGCGGUCUCCACGACACCACCUUUCCACGGCCCUGUGAGGCGGUGCUCUUUGUCUUAACGGACCGCCGAAUACUCGGCGUCUAGCCGAGAUGAGGCGCCAACCACACCGGCCAUGCCGAUGUUAGCGUGCGACGGUUUUACACCGACGCCGGUCUCCGAAGCAACUUACUCCCGCGAGGCAUACCCCUUGCAUACCCCGACGAGUCUGCUAGGUCGUCUAGAAGUCCGAGCCGAGCAGGACCCAUGCAACUUCAACCCCAACUACAUCAUCGCCGCCAAGACCGACGAGGCGUGACGGCGAGGGCGGACGUGGCUAGCAGAAAGCCAUGUUUUGAGCGGCGCGUGUACCGACGAGGACACGGGCUCUGCCGCUGCCCAUACACCACCAUCAUCAUGCAUGGAGAAUGCAAGGCGAUGACGAGAUGACGAGAAGACGACCAUACUGCUUAAUCGAAGGUGUCUCGCGGAGUAACCCGUGGGAAUAAUUAACCGGGAGCCUUUCGAGGCCCUGGGAACCAAGAGACCGCAAUCGCUACAGUCAGGCUGGCCGCACUAGUAGGCCACAGAGCGUAUAUGUAAAGGGAACUUGUAAUUUUGUUUCUCCAAUGAGAGAUUAAUAAAGUACAUGUUUCCCUAUGUUUAUUUGUGUACUUAGUAGACUGGCACGCCCGCAUUUUUCUUUUCCCCGGCGCAUGAGAGAAAUCCACACUCCUUCUCUUCCCUUCUCACAAAGAGCUUAUAAGGUUUUAGUAGCUCAAGCUUAGUUAAGUUAAGCACUUAGUACUAAACAGCAGCAACACUUGAACCGUGACAUGUCCAGAAAGGAAACAAAACAUGAGACCAGUAUUGAUAGCAUGUCCACGAAGGCCGUCCAAUGGUUUCAGCCACAUCCUAAUAAACCUGCAGCAUUCUUUAGCACCUAAUUAUCAGCAAGAAAUCAAUGGCUAGAUGAGCACCACCACAACAAAUCGGCACUAACACUUGGUCAUCGACGCGAUGCCCAAGCAAGGAACCAGCUCGCACACGCAAGAUGAUGAUUGCAUACAUACAAAUCAUGUGCUGGCAGAAAAAAAUCCAAGCAGGAGCUCAUCUUCUCUCUCUGUUUGGUAACUAACAACCUAAAUAAAAUAAAAUAAAAACAUGACUUGUUCAUACAGGUCCCUCUAAAAUUCCUUGGGACAAAUGCAUCACAUAUUCGUCAACUUAGCAGCAGAAGUAGUGAGCACAUGAAGAGGGGGAGGGAGAUGGAGGAGCUACCUGCCGCGGUCGCAAUGGAAGCAGAGGAGCAGACCCCUCCUGCCCCUCCCCCACGAGCAGGACAGGGUUGCCGGCUGGGCACGCUCCUACUCCUCCGCCUCCUUGAUUAGGAGACCCCCUUCCCCUACUGCUGCUUGGCGCGCCGCAUCACUAGUCACCUCCUCAUGCAAGAAGUACACAAUAAAUAGACAGACGGUCAGUGAGGUACAUUUUCACAGCAACAGAAGCUUAAAAUUAACAGAAAUACAGACAUCAAAUGAAGUCACUAAGAUACUUAAGUCCACCACAUGGUGUAGAAUUCUGUGGUAUAUAAUUGCAACACAUGAACCAAAAGAGGAAUAACAUCAUCACCAAGAGUUUCUGAUGAUAAGCAUAGCUCCCUACAAAAAAGAACUAAGGGCACAGUGACUAAAGCAUGCGGACCACAAUAUUCAAAGCAGAAGCAAGCGGGCAGUAUGAGCUACCUACUGGCAAAGUAUAAAACCUGAAUCGUAUUCGUAUAAAUGAAUCAAGGUGGAUCUAUAGUUUUCAAAUUACUGACCAUUAUAGCUUUCAAACUAUAAGAAGCAAAACAGGGACAUCUCAUCAAUAUUAAACAGGGACAUCUUUUAAAAUCACGCUUUCAAACUAUAAAUAUAGUAGUGCAUAGUACAGAGCAAAACAGGGACAUCUCAUCGCAGCAACAUGAAUAAUUCAGGGCCUACUAUGCAACACAAGGACAUUUCCAUGACACAUAAGAAGUUGAACAUAACACAGAGCAUGGUAAAUGUCAGAGAGCUCAUAUGCUGAACUCAUAAGCAUGUCAAGUCCGCUUGCGGCCUAAACAGGUACCUAGAGGAGGGAGCGGGCAUGCAGACGGGACCUGGAGGGUCAUGGGCGAGCUUGUAUUCCUUGUAAGGAAGUAGCCACCGCUGUCGGCCGCCCUAGUCGACCCGGCCUAGACGCUGCCGAGCGUGUUCUUGCGGCCACUGCACCACCCACAUCCUGAAAAACCAGACACACAACAAAAACAUCAGAUCUGAGUCAUAUAUGCUGCGGACAACCGUGAGAGGAAAAUGGAGGAGUGGAUCUGCGGCCGGCGCUGUCGGGGAAGAAGGUGUCCGACGGCGGCCUUGUUGGGGAGAAGGGAGAGUCGAGGAAGCAUCCAGGCAACAAGGAGGGAUUGGGUCUAGUAGCAGGCAUUGGGGAAGCGGCAAGUCGGAGACGCGGCUGUCUCAGCGCGGUAGAUGUCGGGGAGGAGCCUGUAGAGUCGUCGGAGCCGUGCCGGCAAUGGAGGCGCCGCCGCCCCCAAAACCCUAGAGCCACGGGGAAGGCUGCGGGUGUGCUGCUGCGGGAGGAAGAAGGGGGCGGGUGGCCUAAGGGAGAAGGACCGCCGGG